rnacentral:lncRNA from 1 species
CCGAUGAUGACCCAAGUCUCAUCUCCAGGACCCUGUGGUGGAGGAAGAAAUUGGAGUCUUACAAGUUGUUCUCCGGCUUUCCCUGGCAGGCACACACAUGUGUGCUCACAGUAAAUUCAUGGAUGUUAAAAGAUUGUUUAAAAGAAAACAGAGAGCAGCUUAUAACUUUCUUAAAGCACAACUUUGCUCUUUUUAAUAGACAACUUGGAGAGGCUAGGGGAGGAGUCUGGUUUUUGUUUUUGUUUUUUAGUUUUAUUUACAUUCCAGAUGUUGCCCCCCUUUCCAGUUCCCCCUCCCCUUUGCCUCUGAGAAGGUGCUCCCCACACCUCAUCCACCACCACCCCCAUCCUCCUUCCCGUGGGCAUCAAGUCUCUCCAGGAUUAGGUCAUUCUCUCCCCCUGAGGCCCUGCAAAGUAGUCCCCCGCUACAUAUAUGCUGGGGUCCCUGGAUCAGCCCAGGUAUGCUCUUUGGUUGGUCUCUGGGAGCUCCAGUUGACACUGUUGUUCUUCCUAUGGGGUUGCCAUCCCUUCAGCUCCUUCAGUCCUUCCCCUAACUCUUCCACAGGGCUCCCUGACCUCAGUACAGUGUAAUAAGCAUCUGCCUUAGUCAGCUGCUGGUAGAGUCUGUGACAGCCAUGCUGGGCUGCAGAAGCCUACUUUAAGUCUCCUGGGUGUUUUAAUUAAGAUUUGUGCAUGCGUGUGUGUGUGUGUGUGUGUGUGUGUGUGUGUGUGUGUGUGUGUG